CAUACUCAAGUUGGGCGACACUAGCAUCAGCCGUCAAAGUUCACAAUAUUCGCCGAUGAAUCCGCCGGCGACGAUUAAAGAUGAGAAACAAGCUCGCGGGGGCACUGAUUGAGAGGCCGUAUCCCCAGAUUUGGACCGGGUCGGGUCAUGUUUGAGACCAACUUAAUCGGGUUCGGGCUCGCCGUCGGCUCCAGCGUCUUUAUUGGCUCAAGCUUCAUUAUCAAGAAGAAGGGCUUGUAGAGGGCCGGAGCCUCAGGCGCUCGCGCCGGUAGGUUUUUGUUUUGAUUUUUUCAAAUUGGGGGGAUUUUGAAUUGGGCAAAGUUUGAAGCUUUAAUUGUUGUAUUGAGCUUUGAUUGGAAAUUUCUCGAGAUGAAGUUGUCAAUUAUUGGGGAAAAAAUUGUCUUUGUUUGUAUUUGGUUGUUGCGUUAGCGGAUUGGGUAAAUUAUUGGCUUUCA